UCCAAUCGAACUCGGAGAUAGCUGGUUCUCCUCGAAAUAGCUUUAGGGCUAGCCUUGUGUAGUAGUAUAUGGGGGUAGAGCACUGACUGAGGUAGGGGCCUAACCAGGUUACCAAACUCUAUCAAACUCCGAAUACCGUAUAUGUAAGCACAGGAGUCAGACUGCGGGAGCUAAGUUCCGUGGUCAAAAGGGAAAGAGCCCAGAUCGUCAAUUAAGGUCCCAAAGAUAUAGCUAAGUGGCAAACGAUGUGAUUUUGCGUAAACAACCAGGAUGUUGGCUUAGAAGCAGCCAUACAUUUAAAGAGUGCGUAAUAGCUCACUGGUCGAGUGAAGUUGCGCGGAAAAUUACCGGGGCUAAGCUAUACACCGAAAUUGCGGAUUUACACUUGAAAGAUAGUGUAAGUGGUAGAGGAGCAUUCUGUAGUAGGGAGAAGCAAAAGCGAGAGCAUUUGUGGACGAGGCAGAAGAGAGAAUGCUGGAAUAAGUAGCGAGAGCAAGGUGAGAAUCCUUGCCGUCGAAAGUCUAAGGUUUCCUGGGGAAGGUUCGUCCGCCCAGGGUAAGUCGGGACCUAAGGUGAGGCUGAAAAGCGUAGCCGAUGGAUAGCAGGUUGAGAUUCCUGCACUAUAGAUAUACUUAAAAGAUGCAAGGGACGCAGGAGUGGAAGAUAAGCGAGGAAGAGGAAAGACUCGUAUCGCAAGAUAUAGUAAAAAUAAAGUAACGAAUUAUCAAGAAGCACACUGACGAGAAAAGCUUGUAGAUAUUGUAUAUAAAUACCCGUACCGCAAACCGACACAGGUAGAUGAGGAGAGGAUCCUAAGACGAGCGGGAGAAGCAUUGUUAAGGAACUCGGCAAAUUGACCCCGUAACUUAGGGAGAAGGGGUGCCAAGGUAGAACUUGGCCGCAGUGAAGAGGUUCAAGCAACUGUUUAACAAAAACACAGGUUUCUGCUAAAUCGAAAGAUGAAGUAUAGGAGCUGACGCCUGCCCAGUGCUGGAAGGUCAAAGGGAAGUGUUAGUAAAAACUUACGAAGCACAGAACUCAAGCCCCAGUGAACGGCGGCCGUAACUAUAACGGUCCUAAGGUAGCGAAAUUCCUUGUCAGGUAAGUUCUGACCCGCACGAAAGGCGUAAUGAUUUGAACACUGUCUCGACAAUGUACCCGGCGAAAUUGUAGUACUAGUGAAGAUGCUAGUUACCUGCGACAAGACAGAAAGACCCCAUGGAGCUUUACUGCAGCUUGAUACUGGGUUUUGGUAAUUUAUGUACAGGAUAGGUGGGAUACGAAGAAGCAAGUGCGCCAGCAUUUGUGGAGUAGACGUUGGGAUACCACUCUUAAAUUAUUGAAAUUCUAACCUGUGAUCAUGAACUGGUCAGGGGACAAUGUCAGGCGGGCAGUUUGACUGGGGCGGUCGCCUCCUAAAGAGUAACGGAGGCGCCCAAAGGUUUCCUCAGCACGGACAGAAAUCGUGCAAAAGAGUGUAAAGGCAGAAGGAAGCUUAACUGGGAGACUGACAAGUCGAGCAGAUACGAAAGUAGGGCUUAGUGAUCCGGCGGUAGUGAGUGGAAAUGCCGUCGCUCAACGGACAAAAGUUACCCUGGGGAUAACAGGCUUAUCUCCCCCAAGAGUUCACAUCGACGGGGAGGUUUGGCACCUCGAUGUCGGCUCAUCGCAUCCUGGAGCGGAAGUACGUUCCAAGGGUUGGGCUGUUCGCCCAUUAAAGCGGUACGCGAGCUGGGUUCAGAACGUCGUGAGACAGUUCGGUCCUUAUCUGUCGCAGGCGUAGGAUAUUUGAAGGGAGCUGUCCUUAGUACGAGAGGACCAGGAUGGACAUACCGAUGGUGUAUCAGUUGUCACACCAGUGGCACGGCUGAGUAGCUAAGUAUGGAAGGGAUAAACGCUGAAAGCAUCUAAGUGUGAAGCCCACCUUAAGAUAAGAUAUCCCAUUGCGUGAAGCAAGUAAGAUCCCAUGAAGACUACAUGGUAGAUAGGUUGGGGGUGUAAGUACAGUAAUGUAUUAAGCUGACCAAUACUAAUAGAUCGAGGGCUUAACCAC
rnacentral:rRNA from 1 species